GUGUUGGUUUAAUUACCCAGUCGUGAUAUUACACAAUGGUUAAAUGAAAACAUAGCUAUUGGUUGCUCUGGCGAAAAUACAAUACACAUGUGAAGAUGAACCAACCAUUUCUUGCAUAAACCAAGACAAAAGAUAAUGAGAUCUAUCAUGGUCUGCAUUAGAGGUGUGCAAAUCCGAUCCGAUCGGAUUCGUUCGGAUUUCGGAACCAAAAUAUUCAUUUCGGAUCGGAUUGAUAAAGUUGUUUCGUGGUCGGAUCGGACUUCGAUAUCACAAAUAAAAUGAAUUAAGUAUCCACGCAUUAUCGCAAGAAUUAAUUAUCCAUGCAUUUAUCAAAGCAUUAUCGCGGUUGUCGCUGCAUUAUUCGUUUGAUACUUCAAUUGGAC